CCUACGGGGGGCUGCAGUGGGGAAUCUUGGACAAUGGGCGAAAGCCUGAUCCAGCCAUGCCGCGUGAAUGAUGAAGGCCUUAGGGUUGUAAAAUUCUUUCAGCAGGGAAGAUAAUGACGGUACCUGCAGAAGAAGCCCCGGCUAACUCCGUGCCAGCAGCCGCGGUAAUACGGAGGGGGCUAGCGUUGUUCGGAAUUACUGGGCGUAAAGCGCUCGUAGGCGGAUUGGUCAGUCAGGGGUGAAAGCCCGGAGCUCAACUCCGGAACUGCCUUUGAUACUGCCAGUCUUGAGUUCGGGAGAGGUGAGCGGAAUACCGAGUGUAGAGGUGAAAUUCGUAGAUAUUCGGUGGAACACCAGAGGCGAAGGCGGCUCACUGGACCGAUACUGACGCUGAGGUGCGAAAGCGUGGGGAGCAAACAGGAUUAGAUACCCGAGUAGUC
rnacentral:rRNA from 1 species